GUUACUAAAUAAUGAAAGCCCUGCCUCUCUUUCAUCCUUGCGGCUCCGAGACCGCGCCAGUGUAACUCAGGCAUACUCGAAGUGU
rnacentral:sRNA from 1 species